UGAUAUGAGGGUGAUCUGGCUGUGACAUCUGUCACUCCAUUGAUCGCCAGGGUUUAUUCGGCUGAUCUGGCUGGCUAGGCGGGCCUCCCUUCCUACCUCACCACUCCAUGUACGUCACUCCCGAAGCUGCACACUUGGUUGAAGAGGACGACCUUCUCUGAUAGAGGAGGACUGUUCAUCAGUCAGAGGUAUACGACUAUCUGUGCUUCCCUGCUGGAACCUCCAAACAAGCUCUCAAUCUGAUGAGAAUUAAGGUGUUGAACCCUUGGCCCUGGGUUUCUCACCCAUGAUGCAACUCACUGAGCACAGGGUCUCCAU
rnacentral:snRNA from 1 species